CCGGUUGAUCCUGCCAGAGGUUACUGCUAUCGAGGUUCGACUAAGCCAUGCGAGUCGAAUGUAGCAAUACAUGGCGUACUGCUCAGUAACACGUGGAUAACCUACCCUUGAGUCGGGGAUAAACCCGGGAAACUGGGUAUAAUACCCGAUAGAUCUCGACUGCUGGAAUGCAUCGAGCUCUAAAGCUCCGGCGCUCAAGGAUGGAUCUGCGGCCUAUCAGGUAGUAGUGGGUGUAGCGUACCUACUAGCCUACGACGGGUACGGGUUGUGAGAGCAAGAGCCCGGAGAUGGAUUCUGAGACACGAAUCCAGGCCCUACGGGGUGCAGCAGGCGCGAAAACUUUACAAUGCUGGAAACAGCGAUAAGGGGACCUCGAGUGCCAGGUUACAAAUCUGGCUGUCGUAAUGCCUAAAAAGCAUUUCAUAGCAAGGGCCGGGCAAGACCGGUGCCAGCCGCCGCGGUAACACCGGCGGCUCGAGUGGUAACCGUUAUUAUUGGGUCUAAAGGGUCUGUAGCCGGCCGGAUAAGUCUCUUGAGAAAUCCAGCAGCUCAACUGUUGGGCUUUCAGGGGAUACUGUCUGGCUCGAGGCCGGGAGAGGUGAGAGGUACUUCAGGGGUAGGGGUGAAAUCUUGUAAUCCUUGAAGGACCACCAGUGGCGAAGGCAUCUCACCAGAACGGACCUGACGGCAAGGGACGAAAGCUAGGGGCACGAACCGGAUUAGAUACCCGGGUAGUCCUAGCCGUAAACGAUACUCGCUAGGUGUCGGCCACGGUGCGACCGUGGUCGGUGCCGUAGGGAAGCCGUGAAGCGAGCCACCUGGGAAGUACGGCCGCAAGGCUGAAACUUAAAGGGAUUGGCGGGGGAGCAC
rnacentral:rRNA from 1 species